rnacentral:rRNA from 1 species
ACUCAAAAACUUAGUCUCAGUUCGGAUUGUUAGGCUGAAACUCGCCUACAUGAAGCUGGAGUUGCUAGUAAUCGCGAAUCAGCAUGUCGCGGUGAAUACGUUCCCGGGCCUUGUACACACCGCCCGUCACACCAUGAGAGUUGGCAAUACCCAACGUACGUGAUCUAACCCGCAAGGGAGGAAGCGUCCUAAGGUAGGGUCAGCGAUUGGGGUGAAGUCGUAACAAGGUACC